ensembl:lncRNA
CUGUGGUUCAUUCCUCCUGCGCAUCCCCAGCAGGGUGGGUGGGAGCCAGCAGCUUUGCUGACACUUCAAGUUUCCAUGCCGAAACCACAGCAUUAGUAUAAGCGCUCCGCAACUUCAGAGGAGGCAAACUUCAGAAUGGCCGCCAGCCUCCAUCUGCAGCUCCUAAUUGAGCCUUGCCCGCAGAGAUCAACACCAGCAGCUGCCUCUUCUUGGUUACUUCCCGGAGAUUCCAAGCUCAGCCUACAACUGUAGGGCAACACGUAUGCUUUCCAGGGAGGUGAGCUGCUAUACGAUGGUCGUCCCAUUGUCAAGCCACGUUCAGCCAUGGACUAUGAGCAAGAGGCCCGGGAAGCCUUGAGUGAAGAGGAGAUCUGCCUGCUGUAGGCACCUCAUAGGAGUACAAUCUUAAAAAUAUUUGUCCACCCUGAGUGGCUGACACAGUCUAUGAGGUUCUUUCACGUCAUGGCUCGGCCGGACUAGCCUUGCUUGGUACAGCCGGGCGACGUCACACUGGACAGAUGUAUCACGCUGUGUCUGUCUGUCCUGUGUCGGUGGACACCCGGGCGCCGUUGUGAUAGAUGAACCCCCAAAGCCACGCACUCAGGCGGCGCUGGUGGAAGGUGACUGAAUUACAGGGCUGCGGCUGACUUGCUGUUAGGAGGGAGUCUGACGGACGCGCCGGGCACUGAAUGCGUGACGUGGAAGGGUGUACUCUCUUCCGGCUCCCACCUUCGCUCUGCUCCUAGCCCUCACCAGGUGAGCAGCCUCGCUCUCCUCGGGCCCUUCAGCCAGUCUGCCGACCAUGCAAGACUGAAACCUGUCAAAUGUGAGCCAAAAUAAAUAUCUCCUUUAACUGCAGGCAUUAGGUUUUGUCCCAGGGAUGAGGAAAGGCACUAAGUCGAGGCAGCUUCCUCCUUUGGCUACUUGAACAAUGCUGCUAUGAACGUGGGCGCGCAACUAUCUCUUGGAGACCUUGCUUUCAAUUAUUUUGAAUAUAUAUCUGGAAGUGAGAUUGCUGGAUUACAUGGUGAUUCUAUGCCUAAUUCUGAGGAUUGUAGAAGUGAGCUGUUUGCUGCAUUUUUCACAAAUUGGACAUGCUUAUGUCACCAGGGCACAACCAGCACGCCAUAAGAAGCCCACAUACUCUUCCGGUUUCUACCUUACUCCGUGAAUCACCAUUACCCUAACUUUCAACAGCAUAGGCUGGAUAGAGAUGCCACCAGGAAACCAAUGGGCACCGAGCCAUCAGCCUCCCAUCUGAUAGAUGUCCAAGUCACCUACCAGGGCUGUCCUUGUGUACAGGUAUCACCAGGUGCGCUGAUCUGGGUACAUUUUUCCAACUGAGAAGGGGCUCGAUAUUACUCACAUUGAGCUUCCUGUCCUCUGUAAAUAAGGCAGAACAACUUCCCGGUGCCCUGGAUUCUGCAUAGGUGAGCCAAGAAUCCCCGGAUGUAAAACCAGAGAGGGCUGGGCGUGAUAGCCCAUGCCUGUAAUCCUAGCUACU